AGUAACCUGAUCUGGGAAAAAAGGUUCCAAGAUUAAAAGUCACACUCUGCCACUGUUGCUCAGAACCUGAUGAACAUGAGGAUAUCACCAUGCAUUAUUGUGCUUGGAAUGAGACAUUUCUCAUAAGUGUCUUCAACUUUACUGGAAUAUAUUAAAUUGGUCAUGGUGUAUUGGAAUUUUGGAAAUUGCUGACCCAAUAUAUCUCAAAGGUACAAGAUGGAUGAGAAACAAUGAUAGAUCAUGUUUAGAUCGUAUUGAAACCUUUGGUGUCUAGGAUAACCAAUCAGGAACUAUUUGGAGGUUAACCUGGGCUGAGGGUAAUCUUACUUUUCAGAUCUAGAAGAACUUCUAGAACAUCUAGGACCUCUCAUGUCUAUACCAAACUCCUUUCACCACAUGGAGGUUCACCUCAUUUAACAAUCAGCAUGCACUUUCUGGAAGAUGGUGUUAUUUUGGACCUGGAAAACACAAAAGCACUGUUAUGAAUCCUUUCUUCAGAGACAAGGAACAACCAAGUUUAUAAAGACAGGCUUUAAGUGUUUCCAAACCAGGCUGCUAUUGGCAUUUAAUGCCAAUAAGGCAGCCCCUCAAUGUAAAAUUAUCCCUCUUCAUAACAAAGUUUAAGGAAAAGACUUCACAAGUGACUUUUUGAUUUUACAAAUGCCACGGCAUCUAGGUUGGCAGGAGGACUGAUUCAUGCCUAAGGGAUGGACCACAAGGAUCUCAAGGGUAGCAUUCCAUACAGUGACCUAUCCUCAAUCAAAUUAUGAAAUGUAUCAAGGGCCAUCAAGCCUUUCUUUAACUUUGCCCAAAGAAUUUGCCCGAUUUUAUUCCCCUUCCUAAGAUCUAUUAGAUAAAGCUGAUGGAGUACAAGCAUCUCCAUUUAUCAUCACAACAACAUGGAGGCCAAUACUACACAUAGCCACCAUGCUGAUCAAUAAUGACACCAUUGUUAUCAUUCCGUGAAUUUCAUUUCUUUCUGAGUUUUCACUGCCAAUUCGCAUGUGCUCCAGCGUAAAUCUAUGGAUAUGGUCCUAAGUAAUCACAACCUGUUUGUCUUGCAACAGAUGGAAUUCAGAUAGACUAGAUACAUCAGUUGGGAGCCACAAGGCUAUAUAUAUGUUUUAAAUAAAUAAAAUAAAUAAAUUUUAAUCAGAAAUAAAUGAAUUCCCAAUAGCCUGUUGCAUAUACACAACUAUGGAACUGACAUUUCAGCAUCUGUACAACUAAGGCCGUAAGAAGACAAAUAAACAGACAAAGAGGAACUGCCCACAGAAGGAAUGUAAAGGUUGAUCCAUUCCCCAUGAAUUCUAGUAGAAAAUUAUGCUUUUAGUGGAAAUUACAGUAUGUCUCCUGAAUUCUAGUUAAUAAAAACCCAGGUGUAACCUUCCCUGGGCUGCCAACAUGUUCAUUAUAUGAUUAAUUAAAACUUCUGGAAGAGUUUCCCUACUGAUAAUCAGGGAGGUCCUUACACCCCAAAAUGAUCUAGUGCCUUAAUUUAUAAGAAACCACUUUAAUUUAGACAAAAGUGCCAACACUUCUCAGUGUUCUACAACUGGCUAUAUCACUAGAAGCUAUUUUGUGACUCUUCUGUAUAAUUUAGCGUAAAAAUGAACGAUGGCUCUGAUCUGGCCUGUUUUCUUCACUUAUCAGUGGGACUGCAUCCAUUGGAUUUUCUUGAAUGAUCUCCUUGUCCAUGAAUGGCUUCCGUGAUGUCCAAGUAUGAACCACUCACACCUCAUCAUUUUUGUUCUUCCGGAAUACGACAUUUGCUCCAGAUCCAUUUUGAACUUUUAUGAAACCCAGUUCAUUGUCCAAGGUGGGAUCUAUCUUCAAUGAACUGUUGUGAAAAUGAGGGGAGGUUUUUGUAUGGCCGUAUGUCACUGUGGUUCAUCUUCGGAGGUGGAACCCAAUUAAUCGUCACAGGUUAACCCACAGUAUCACCUACUUUGAAUGUCUAUAUUCCAUCUCAGGAAGAGAUCAAAAGCCUGGAUAAGGCCACCAUGCUGUGUCUCUUAAGCAACUUUUACCCACCUGGCUUUACCCUGAAAUGGAAGGGUGACAAUAAUCAAGAGAUCACCUCUGGAGUGGAGACCACCAAAGCCAAUAAGCAAGGUGACAAAUAUUUUGCCAGCAGUUACCUGACAAUGAGCGCAUCGGAUUAUGAAAAGCAUGAUGCUUACCCCUGUGAAGUGAGGCAUGGAGAAAACACCCAUGUGAAGACUGUGUCAAGGUCUGGAAGUUGUUAACUCCAUCAUGAAUUCCUCUGACCCUACUCCAGCGCUCUCUCUCUCUUUUUUUUUUUCCUUUGCUGAUUCUAGUUUGAUCAAUAACAUCUAUUUCUGCAUCAUCUAGUCACAGUCUGUAGCCUCCCGUUGAAAUCUAUCCACCUCCCAUUGUCCUCUUCAUUUCUACCUUUAGAAGUUCAAUAAAGAUGUGUACAUUUCA